AUCGGGCUGUGUUUCGUCAGCACGUUGUGAGCUAUUACUGAAGGUUGCUAGGAAACCAGCAAAGCCGUCCUCGGACGCAGAGUUCGGUGCGGAUCUGCAGAACAUCAGGACUUGGCCAGCGGGUGGUGUAGCAUGUCAGCCAUGCACUGGGAGGCCCGUCGCCGUCAGCAGGUGCUGGACCGCAGAUUAUCUGCUAGCGUUAUGCAGGCAGGCAACCAAGAUAAAAAGAAAGAAGAGUCUAUGGCACCUAUGACACCCU
rnacentral:lncRNA from 1 species